rnacentral:rRNA from 1 species
AUACGAAGGGGGCUAGCGUUGCUCGGAAUUACUGGGCGUAAAGGGAGCGUAGGCGGACUGUUAAGUUAGAGGUGAAAGCCCAGGGCUCAACCUUGGAAUUGCCUUUGAUACUGGCAGUCUUGAGUACGGAAGAGGUAUGUGGAACUCCGAGUGUAGAGGUGAAAUUCGUAGAUAUUCGGAAGAACACCAGUGGCGAAGGCGACAUACUGGUCCGUUACUGACGCUGAGGCUCGAAAGCGUGGGGAGCAAACAGGAUUAGAUACCCUGGUAGUCCACGCCGUAAACGAUGAGUGCUAGUUGUCGGCAUGCAUGCAUGUCGGUGACGCAGCUAACGCAUUAAGCACUCCGCCUGGGGAGUACGGUCGCAAGAUUAAA